rnacentral:rRNA from 1 species
CAGCAGCCACGGUAAUACGUAGGUGGCAAGCGUUGUCCGGAAUUAUUGGGCGUAAAGAGCUCGCAGGCGGUUUCUUAAGUCUGAUGUGAAAGCCCCCGGCUCAACCGGGGAGGGUCAUUGGAAACUGGGAAACUUGAGUGCAGAAGAGGAGAGUGGAAUUCCACGUGUAGCGGUGAAAUGCGUAGAGAUGUGGAGGAACACCAGUGGCGAAGGCGACUCUCUGGUCUGUAACUGACGCUGAGGAGCGAGAGCGUGGGGAGCGAACAGGAUUAGAUACCCGGGUAGUCCCUGUCUCUUAUAC